rnacentral:rRNA from 1 species
CGCGUACACAAUCUGCCCUUAUCUGGGGGAAAGUCGCUGGAAACGGCGAAUAAUCCCGCAUAAGACCCCGCUAUCGCAUGAUAGAGAGGUUAAAGCUACGGCGGAAAAGGAUGAGUGUGCGUACUAUUAGCUAGUUGGUAGGGUAACGGCCUACCAAGGCGACGAUAGUUAGGGGGCGUGAGAGCGUGAUCCCCCACACGGGUACUGAGACACGGACCCGACUCCUACGGGAGGCAGCAGUAAGGAAUAUUGGUCAAUGGAGGCAACUCUGAACCAGCCAUUCCGCGUGCGGGAAGACGG